UCUUAGCUUGCUAAGGCCGAUGGCGACCGGCGCACGGGUGAGUAACACGUAUCCAACCUGCCGUCUACUCUUGGACAGCCUUCUGAAAGGAAGAUUAAUACAAGAUGGCAUCAUGAGUCCGCAUGUUCACAUGAUUAAAGGUAUUCCGGUAGACGAUGGGGAUGCGUUCCAUUAGAUAGUAGGCGGGGUAACGGCCCACCUAGUCUUCGAUGGAUAGGGGUUCUGAGAGGAAGGUCCCCCACAUUGGAACUGAGACACGGUCCAAACUCCUACGGGAGGCAGCAGUGAGGAAUAUUGGUCAAUGGGCGAGAGCCUGAACCAGCCAAGUAGCGUGAAGGAUGACUGCCCUAUGGGUUGUAAACUUCUUUUAUAAAGGAAUAAAGUCGGGUAUGCAUACCCGUUUGCAUGUACUUUAUGAAUAAGGAUCGGCUAACUCCGUGCCAGCAGCCGCGGUAAUACGGAGGAUUCGAGCGUUAUCCGGAUUUAUUGGGUUUAAAGGGAGCGUAGAUGGAUGUUUAAGUCAGUUGUGAAAGUUUGCGGCUCAACCGUAAAAUUGCAGUUGAUACUGGAUAUCUUGAGUGCAGUUGGGGCAGGCGGAAUUCGUGGUGUAGCGGUGAAAUGCUUAGAUAUCACGAAGAACUCC
rnacentral:rRNA from 1 species